rnacentral:rRNA from 1 species
CACGUAGGGGGCGAGCGUUGUCCGGAUUUAUUGGGCGUAAAGAGCUCGUAGGCGGCUCAGUAAGUCAGGUGUGAAAACUCCAGGCUCAACCUGGAGACGCCACCUGAUACUGCUGUGGCUAGAGUCCGGUAGGGGAGCAUGGAAUUCCUGGUGUAGCGGUGAAAUGCGCAGAUAUCAGGAGGAACACCGGUGGCGAAGGCGGUGCUCUGGGCCGGAACUGACGCUGAGGAGCGAAAGCGUGGGGAGCAAACAGG